AUGGCUGCGUUGUCCCUGGUACAGCUGGUCCUUGCACUGGCCGCGCUCUCCUGUGCCCGCUCGCAGGGAGCUCUGACCCAGUCGGGGACAGCGGUGAAGAAGCCCGGAGAGUCCCAUACGGUGAAAUGUGCAAUCAGCGGUUUUAACGUUAUGGGCUAUAACAUGUUCUGGAUCCGGCAGGCUCCUGGGGAAGGGAUGGAGUGGAUAAUUCAUUAUUAUUCACCGUCCAGCAACAGCUACUCCCCGGCAAUCCAGGAGCGAUUCACAGCCUCCAAGGACAGCUCCAAUUUCUACCUGCACAUGAGCCGCCUGAAACCCGAGGACACCGCGGUGUAUUACUGUGCGAGAGACACAGCGAGGGGAAACCUAUUAUGCUUCAUAUAA